AUGACAAGACUCAAGAGUCAGAUGGUCAUAACCCAAAUUAGUGAUGAGAAGAAGUUUCACAAGGCAGAAAUGAAUGUUAGUGAAAUUUGUCUCACCCCCUAUAUUCUUACUGUAGGGGCUUCUGCUGCACAGCCAACACAGGUGACGAGCCAAUGGCAGGCCAAAGUGCACAAGAGGAAGACCAGGUUCAAACCAGAAGAGCUUGCAAUUGUGGCCAAAAGAAUUAUCCUCAUAUAAUAAGCUACUGUUCCGUGCCCAGCACAACCUGGCAGACAUGCAGUGCAAGGCACACAAAUGGGCAGAGAUCUUGCGGAGGGCGAAUGCCUCAAGCAUCACUCACCCCACUAUUGGGGACCUAAAGAAGAGGUGGCAUAAACUGAGAAGAACUACAAAAAAGAAACUCCUACAGAUGAGGAGGCAGAUGCAAGAGAAGGGAUUGGAAGAGACCCAUCUAACAAAGUUCGAGGAGAUGGCGGCAUGGACAAUGACUCCACAGAUGAUUUAUGGAGUCUCUGAAGGGUUGGACAUAAUAGAAAGUGAGGAGGAGGAAUGGGUUUCUCUGAUGACCAAUGGCUUACAGGAGGAACCUUGUGAGAUAAAUCAUGUGGUUCCCUGUGAGCAAGAAGAGUCUACCAACGAGACAGAGGCCCAAAAUAGCCAGAGAAUACUACUAAAAAUAGUGCCCACAUCCUCUACCAAUAAUCACAUUAUUUCUAUGGAAGAUCCAGAGAGUCCCAUUUCUGUUAUUGCUUCCCCUGACACACAGCUAGGCUUUAUUAGGCAUUCACCAACGCCUCCAAUGAGAGGACAUGAGCCUGUAGAAAUAGCCAUGGAGCCAGAUCUGCUGGCUCACCAUGUUGGACAGCUAGUGGAAAGCAUUCGGGAACACAAUGAACUUUUCCGAAGCCAAUGCAGAAAUGAACUCUUAUUAGAGAGCAGAAUGGUCUGCCUGGAAAAUGCAGUAAAAACUAUGGUCCAGACAAAUCAUGCGCUAAUCCAGUCACAAGCCCAGGCCCUAGCACAUGCAGGAACUUGGGCAUCUGACACAAGCUGUGUGCCAAUUGGUGGAGCAGAUGGCAACUUCCCCACCAGGAACCUUUCUCCUCAGUGCACACCAAGACCUGGCAUCCAGAACAGCUGUUUCUUACCUGCCCCCUUCUUAUGAUCCAUCUUUUCCUCUAUGAUCUAGGAUUUUAUCGUUUGGUAUACGGAAUAGGCAUCCAUCCAUAUUUGUAUCCACAUUUCUCUAUUCUGUUCCAACACAU